GUUGAAACCCCGGUUCCUGUACGAUCACCGGAUUUAAGCAAAGUAGAUCCUGGUCAGUACCUAGUUGGGUGACCGCCUGGGAAAUAUCAGCUGCUGUAAG